GCUCCAAAGUAUUGUAAAAUGCUUUAAAAUUAUAAACACAUUGAAUUGCUGGAAAUCCUUAAAGCUAAUUACACCACAGCAUAAGUAUGAAAUAUGACUAAGUGCGAAGGUUGUGAAAACAGAAAAAAGUAAUUAGAUGAUACAUGGUUAAAUCCUAAAUAUCAAAAGCAAGAAACACCUAUUUUAGGUGUUUUUAUUAUGCUCAAAAUAGGCAAUCAGCAGCGAAGCUCCGAACAGGAGAACGUUCAACGACUAUCUCGUAAGAGAGUAGGGUUACAAGCUAUUGGUAAUUCGAAGUGGUGUGCAGUCACCUACGUGUGGCUGAAGAUAUAGUCUAAUCUUUAGUGAAAGCUAAAG
rnacentral:ncRNA from 1 species